rnacentral:rRNA from 1 species
UACGAAGGGGGCUAGCGUUGUUCGGAAUUACUGGGCGUAAAGCGCGCGCAGGCGGUCUUCCAAGUCAGUGGUGAAAGCCCGGAGCUCAACUCCGGAACUGCCAUUGAAACUGUGAGACUUGAGUAUGAGAGAGGUGAGUGGAAUUCCCAGUGUAGAGGUGAAAUUCGUAGAUAUUGGGAAGAACACCGGUGGCGAAGGCGGCUCACUGGCUCAUUACUGACGCUCAGGCGCGAAAGCGCGGGGAGCAAACAGG